rnacentral:rRNA from 1 species
UGGGGAAUAUUGGGCAAUGGGCGCAAGCCUGACCCAGCAACGCCGCGUGAAGGAAGAAGGCCCUCGGGUUGUAAACUUCUUUUGUCAGGGACGAAGCAAGUGACGGUACCUGACGAAUAAGCCACGGCUAACUACGUGCCAGCAGCCGCGGUAAUACGUAGGUGGCAAGCGUUAUCCGGAUUUACUGGGUGUAAAGGGCGUGUAGGCGGGAGUGCAAGUCAGAUGUGAAAACUCAGGGCUCAACCCUGAGCCUGCAUUUGAAACUGUACUUCUUGAGUGAUGGAGAGGCAGGCGGAAUUCCGUGUGUAGCGGUGAAAUGCGUAGAUAUACGGAGGAACACCAGUGGCGAAGGCGGCCUGCUGGACAUUAACUGACGCUGAGGCGCGAAAGCGUGGGGAGCAACCAGGAUUAGAUACCC